UACGUAGGGUGCAAGCGUUAAUCGGAAUUACUGGGCGUAAAGCGUGCGCAGGCGGCUUUGCAAGACAGAUGUGAAAUCCCCGGGCUCAACCUGGGAACUGCAUCUGUGACUGUAUAGCUAGAGUACGGUAGAGGGGAUGGAAUUCCGCGUGUAGCAGUGAAAUGCGUAGAUAUGCGGAGGAACACCGAUGGCGAAGGCAAUCCCCUGGACCUGUACUGACGCUCAUGCGACGAAAGCGUGGGGAGCAAACAGG
rnacentral:rRNA from 1 species